rnacentral:rRNA from 1 species
CCUACGGGAGGCAGCAGUGAGGAAUAUUGGUCAAUGGACGAGAGUCUGAACCAGCCAAGUAGCGUGAAGGAUGACUGCCCUAUGGGUUGUAAACUUCUUUUAUAUGGGAAUAAAAUGUUCCACGUGUGGGAUUUUGUAUGUACCAUAUGAAUAAGGAUCGGCUAACUCCGUGCCAGCAGCCGCGGUAAUACGGAGGAUCCGAGCGUUCUCCGGAUUUAUUGGGUUUAAAGGGAGCGUAGGUGGAUUGUUAAGUCAGUUGUGAAAGUUUGAGGCUCAAACGUAACAUUGCAGUUGAAACUGGCAGUCUUGAGUACAGUAGAGGUGGGCGGAAUUCGUGGUGUAGCGGUGAAAGGCUUAGAUAUCACGAAGAACUCCGAUUGCGAAGGCGGUCUGCUGGACAGCAACUGACGCUGAGGCGCGAAAGCGUGGGGAGCAAACAGGAUUAGAUACCCUUGUAGUC